AAGAAGGGGUUCAAAUGCUCAAGGUAACUGAAUAUAAAGUUAUAACCUACACAUGUAUGCAUGUGUGUGUUACUUAUGUUAUUGGUGAGCUAAUAUCUUUAAAUAAUAUAUUAUAUCACCAUUAAUAAACAAAAUACUAAUUAGAUGGUGUUUAACAGGUGUUAGAAUGAUGGAGAAAAUAAUAGAUUUUUUAAGAGGAAGAAGUAUGGGAAGUAAUAGCUGGCAUUAGGGUUGGCCAUUGGGUCCGGUUCAAGGUUCAGGGGUACCAGGGUUCCCCUUAUAUCUGGUUCUGUCUUUUGAUCAAAUCCAA
rnacentral:misc_RNA from 1 species